rnacentral:sRNA from 1 species
AAACCUAAACCUAAACGGCUAAGCCCGACGUCAAAUACCAAAAAGAGAAAAACAAGAGCGCCGUCAAGCUCUGCAAAUACGAUCUGUAAGUCCAUCUUAACACAAAAGUGAGAUGGGUUCUUAGAUCAUGUUCCGCCGUUAGAUCGAGUCAUGGUCUUGUCUCAUAGAAAGGUACUUUCGUUUACUUCUUUUGAGUAUCGAGUAGAGCGUCGUCUAUAGUUAGUUUGAGAUUGCGUUUGUCAGAAGUUAGGUUCAAUGUCCCGGUCCAAUUUUCACCAGCCAUGUGUCAGUUUCGUUCCUUCCCGUCCUCUUCUUUGAUUUCGUUGGGUUACGGAUGUUUUCGAGAUGAAACAGCAUUGUUUUGUUGUGAUUUUUCUCUACAAGCGAAUAGACCAUUUAUCGGUGGAUCUUAGAAAAUUAUUCUAAGUCCAACAUAGCGUAUUCUAAGUUCAACAUAUCGACGAACUAGAAAAGACAUUGGACAUAUUCCAGGAUAUGCAAAAGAAAACAAUGAAUAUUGUUUUGAAUGUGUUCAAGUAAAUGAGAUUUUCAAGUCGUCUAAAGAACAGUUGCUAAUACAGUUACUUAUUUCAAUAAAUAAUUGGUUCUAAUAAUACAAAACAUAUUCGAGGAUAUGCAGAAAAAAAGAUGUUUGUUAUUUUGAAAAGCUUGAGUAGUUUCUCUCCGAGGUGUAGCGAAGAAGCAUCAUCUACUUUGUAAUGUAAUUUUCUUUAUGUUUUCACUUUGUAAUUUUAUUUGUGUUAAUGUACCAUGGCCGAUAUCGGUUUUAUUGAAAGAAAAUUUAUGUUACUUCUGUUUUGGCUUUGCAAUCAGUUAUGCUAGUUUUCUUAUACCCUUUCGUAAGCUUCCUAAGGAAUCGUUCAUUGAUUUCCACUGCUUCAUUGUAUAUUAAAACUUUACAACUGUAUCGACCAUCAUAUAAUUCUGGGUCAAGAGAUGAAAAUAGAACACCACAUCGUAAAGUGAAAU